AUCUUUACCCUCAGCAUGAACUUUGAGACAUACAAGUAAAUAUCAUAAACUCUUGCCCUUUAAAGACUCUGACCCUUUCCAGCAUAUUGGCUUUGAUUUCUCUGUUGCAAUGUACGUCUUGUUGACGAGUCUUUCAACUCACAGCUAAGGGCCUUUUUGGUAACUUCACUUUUGUCAUGGCUACCCUCCUUCCAGACCUCUGCCAUUGACUCCUGUCGAGCAUGUUAGUCUGAGAUGCUGAACUGCUAAUACAGCUGCAAGCUAUGAUUUAAAUUAGAGGUGCUGAAAUCAUAAGGAAUUACGUCUGUUCACAGUGUUUCCUUCUCUACCUUUUUUAUCCUUCAAGUGAUAAUUUAACUAAAUUGGCUACGUGUGUAUUUGCAUGUGUAAGUGUGGGUCUUGGAGAAGCUUGUUUUCCUAGAAUGAACAGAACCGUAUACUGGGUUGCCGUGGUAAUGAUCAAGACAGCAAGACUAAACGAAGUAUAGAUUUGAAGGGUUUUUUAAUAUCCCUUUUUCAUUUUGUGUCCCUGAUUAACUGUGUAGUUCAUCUUACUGCACAGGUGGUUAGGGUUUUCUACAACUAUUUUUGUGUGGAGUGAAGUAUAUAGGGUAACUUUUCUGCUGGUGUCAGGUUGAAUGCUUGCUUACUUCAGAUCAGUGUCUCUAAAUUGACUUUGAGAGGGCAGUAAAUCUUGCUGAUCACUAAAAUAAAUUAGUUCUUUCAUGGAUGGUUACAUGUACAUGUAAUGUAUGUACAUACAUGUACAUACAUUAGUAAUUUCAUGGAUGGUUACAUAAAUGUCUUGAAAGCUAGAUUUCCUGAUGGUGAUCAUUGCUGAUACAAUCAAAGUGCAUGAGAAAAGAUUUUUACAAAUAAUGCCAAGUGGUUAUAUGUAAAUAAUUAUUGUUACUUUAAUGAAGAAGUUUACUGUAUGGCUGUUAUAAGUAAAAGUAUAAUUGUAAGAGCAGGACUGCAUUACACUUCAAAUCUGUACUCAUUUGGUAGUAUUGUGCAAUACCCGAACCUCAGAGCUUCAAGAUGGAAACAAAAGAAUCCAGUUUGCUGUAAUAUCUUAUAAUGCAAUAUAUCUGUAAUAUCUUACAAUGAAAAAAAAAAGGAGGAGGAUGAAGAAUGUCUUAAAGAGUAGAGGUUAUUGGAGCUUUCAUUUCUCCUGUUAAAGAUUUCAUUAGUCCUGUCACACAGGCUCUAUGCAGAAAUCAGGUUUUGAUUCUGCAAAAAGUCCUGGUGAUAAGAAAACAGGAGAAAGUAAAGGCUGUUUGAGAAAAGCCCUUGGUUUUGUUUUACAUGUGCACUGUUAGUACCUUCUGCUAACCUUAUUGAAGUUCUUAGUGUAAGUUGUGCCUCACAGACUCCAGUUCUCUCUAAUUCAAUCAGGCCUUGUAGGGUAGAGGAUGCCAAGGAACCUUUGAAUGCCCUGACACCAAGAGAAAAGUGUGGUAGUUUAAUUGUGGAGUCUCAAAAUGUCACAGACAAAAACAAUCAAGAUAGUUGAGGGAGCUGUUUACAUGUUAUGUAUCUUUAAGGCUCUUUCCUCCUUGAAAACAAGAAGUUGAGAGAGAGUGACAAGAGGUUAGAAGCACAAGAAAGCUUCCAUAGUAAAACGAAGAGAAUAGAGUAUAAAUGUCUAACAUAUAAAUAUCUUUCCCAGUCUUCAUCUGUGCCUGGUUAGUACCUCAGUUUAAAAUACAGGGCUUUUAUCCUUAAUAAUAUGUUCUAAAGUAGAGGUUUUCCAUUCAAAAAUAAUUACAAUUAUUUACCACUUCUCUUAAGAAAUAAUUCUCCUGCAGCUGGUGAUUGUGUGGUUAUGUGUGCAUCAAAUAUGAUCAGCUGUAAUUGAUACAGAUUUUAGUGAUCUGUAAGGAGAGAAUGGAAGGGUUCUGACAUGUCACGUGGCUUGUCAGACAAGCUUUGGUUGGAAUUUUUCUUGUAUGUGUCCCUUUAAUGCUGCUUGGUUCUGAUGUUGCGAAAUGUUUAGUCUUUUAGUGAUGUUCAAAUUGGUUUUCCAGGAGACUUAAUUCCCUCAUGUUACAUGGAACUAUUUAUUCUCAAAAUGCAUUAGCAUGCAGGUAGUGAGACAGUAUAGAGAGGUCUGUAAUUCAUGUGAAAAUGUAAAAAUCCCAAUUAUAACAUAAGCUUCCCUUUCAAAUGAAAAUAAGUGUGCUAGCUUCAGGAAAUACAAGAUGUGGUUGGUACCCACAAGGUCCCUUUUCUUAUUCUUUACAUUUUGCACUUAUGCUAGAGUUCAAAUGAAGGACACGUUUAGGAAGAUAUCUCUUGGCAGCUGAGAGGAUGUUUGACACAGAGUCCUGCAAAAGCAGCCACACCAUGAGACAUAAAGGAGGUGGUAGAGAGGGAGAGUUAAGGGAUAGAGAGGCUUUGUCAAGAAAUCUCUUUUUCUGGCUUGUCACUUCCUUAAUGAAAAACAGUUCAAAGCACAUUUUUUUGUUCUUUAUGUAAGGAGAGUAAGCUUUUUAAAAAAGAGAAUUGCAGUAUCACUGAAAAGCUUUAUUGUAUCUUCUAAGGCAUACAAAUCCACUGGGAGCAAAUGGCAUGUAUUUUGCCUGGAUCUCAGCAGAAAUACUAAUCAGAAUGCAGAGCACUUUCAACCUGAUCAAAGAGCUGCAGUUCUCCUUACUUUGUCCCGUCUCACUGAGAUGUCACUAUUUCUCACAUCAGGGUGGUUUUCAGAUGAUAGAAAUAUUAGCAUAAUGGAGAGAGGUUCUGUGGUGAGGUAACUCUGCUGAUUCUGUGUAAAGGUUUUGUGCCAACAAAGAUUUUCAAUGUGUCUGAAAGCUAUUGGGGAAGUUUUAUGUUGAGAUUCCUUGAGAGGUUUUUUAAACUGCAUUAAUCGAGUUUUCUGAUCAUUGUGCAGAAAAAAAGUAUAUACACUGUCUGUAAAAUGCAAAUGUUUGUGUGUGGAUGUGCUUUCCAAAUUCUUGUACAAUCUCCCUCAAAUUUGUCAUUGCUGUUCAUUAACUGAUACUUGUUGGACAUUGAGUUAUUUCUGCAGAAUUCAGUACUUAUGGUUUGGGAACUGUACUUGAUUAUAAUAAUAAAAUGGUACAAUAUCAAACUCUUGGAAGUUCUUCUUAAUUAUGCCAUUAUAUCUUUCAUGGUAGCAAGUUACAUUUUUGAAGUCUGAUUUCAGCCACAAAGUCAUUUUGGGACUAUGGCAGUCUCCAUAUGUAUGAAAUACGCUUAUUCCAUGCAAUACCAGUGUAUCAAUAGUUAGUCCAACAUUACAUGCAAAAUAAUUGUCACCUGCAUUCUCAUUACCAGCAUGUCUGUUUUUCAGGUGAGAAAGUUGCAAUGUUUAAUACUUUCACGUCUAUCAAGUGAUUUAAUGUUGCCUGAAAACAUUCAGUUGCUCUCAAGUAUUGCUUAUAAUAAAUGAUCACAAUGCACCAAAAAAAGAUUGACUCUUGGAAUACACUGCAUGACAUUCAUUCACAGUAACGUGAUACCCUGUUCUUGUAUUUUCAUCUGCAGAAUGUAAUAAGUACUGUUAACCUGGUCCAGAACAAAUAGAAAAAGGAGAAGAAAUACAGACACAGUCGUACAAGAUACUUAAUUCUUCCUUUGAGUUGUUUUCUCUGCGAUAAAGCUGUAGAUGACAUAGACUUGGCUUUAGCUCCCUCCCCAGAAAUAUGAGCACUGAAAA